UUUAAGGUCUAAUCUGCCCAAUGAGGAAUUAAAUGGCCGCGGUAUUUUGACCGUGCAAAGGUAGCAUAAUAAUUAGUUUUUUAAUUGAAAGCUGGAAUGAAUGAUUGGACGAGAAAAUUUCUGUCUCAAUUUAAUUUAAUUAGAAUUUUAUUUUUAAGUAAAAAAGCUUAAAUUUUUUUAAAAGACGAGAAGACCCUAUAGAGUUUUAUAUAUUUAUUUAUAUUUAAAUUUUUAGAAUUUUAUUUUUGUUAUAUUUAAAUAUAUUUUGUUGGGGUGAUAGAAAAAUUGAAUUAACUUUUUUUAUAUUAAUACAUUAAUUUAUGGUUAAAUGAUCCAUUUUUUAUGAUUAUAAGUUUAAAUUACCUUAGGGAUAACAGCGUAAUUUUUUUUUAGAGUUCUUAUCGAAAAAAUAGAUUGCGACCUCGAUGUUGGAUUAAAAUAAACAUUUGGUGUAGGGGCUAAAUUGUAAGGUCUGUUCGACCUUUAAAAUUUUNCA
rnacentral:rRNA from 1 species